CCUACGGGAGGCAGCAGUGAGGAAUAUUGGUCAAUGGGCGGGAGCCUGAACCAGCCAAGCCGCGUGAGGGAAGAAGGUACAGCGUAUCGUAAACCUCUUUUGUCAGGGAACAAAGGCGGGGACUAGUCCCCGGAUGAGGGUACCUGAAGAAAAAGCAUCGGGUAACUCCGUGCCAGCAGCCGCGGUAAUACGGAGGAUGCGAGCGUUAUCCGGAUUUAUUGGGUUUAAAGGGUGCGCGGGCGGCCUGUUAAGUCAGCGGUAAAAGCACGGGGCUCAACCCCGGCGAGCCGUUGAAACUGGCAGGCUGGAGUUGAGGAGAGGGAGGUGGAAUGCGCGGUGUAGCGGUGAAAGGCUUAGAGAUCGGGCAGAACCCCGAUUGCGAAGGCAGCGUACCGGCUCCACACUGACGCUGAGGCACGAAAGCGUGGGUAUCGAACAGGAUUAGAUACCCUAGUAGUC
rnacentral:rRNA from 1 species